UUUUGGUCAAGUAAUAGCCGUCAUGUAAAUAACCAUAUAUUUUCUCUCGUAUUAUGAUUUGAUAAAAGUCAGGUUCUUAUUUCAUUCCUAAUAUUUGUUCCCUUUUAUUCGAUAUUUCUUCUAUCACAAAUACAGUACAUUUUACUUGGAUCUGGUUGUUUUGUGGUUGGGUUAGAUCUGGUCGAUUUACAUCUUAAAGAUGGUUUGGUCGGUUGCGUUUAAUGUUUUUCAAUCUUGCUUUCUCCGUUUAAACUAAACCGUGCAAAUCACCUAAUAGUACGUGACAACAUAAGUUGCGUUGGAGUAAACAUGAAGAAGCAUAAGUGUUGUCAAAAUCAAAUUAGGCGAAUUUGUAUGUCUCCUUGAAAAAAGAACCAAGAGGUCCCUUCCUGGCUUGCUCGCAAUGCCGUUCAAACUUACAUAUGUUGGGUUGUUCCAAAAAAAUUUCAUAUGGUCGUGACAUGAAUGUUGUCCAUAUGACGUCAACCAUGAAAUCUGAGAGGAUUGUCGUUCCACAAAAAUCGUGAUGGGAGGUUGAAAUAUGGAGGUCUGUAUGGGUGUGGUAGAUGAUAUGAUAUGAAGCAACUUCUGGUGUUGGAUACUAAUGUCCAUUGGAAGGACAGGUUCCUGUUGGUUGCGGAAAUGGUCCUGUGGGAUCGAUGGUUCAGGUUUUUCUUUCAAACAUAAGUUGAGAGUCUUAAUUAGUAGCAGCUAUUUAGUACAUAAUUAUUAACAUAAGGCUUAGAAAUUUCUAACUCUAAUAAUCUAUCAUAUGAUUGAUGAUGUUUAUAUGUUUGUGCUGUUUUAGGUCCUGUUAAGCUUUGUAUUCAUCUCUUCUAAACAGGACAACCCUUCCAAUAUUUUAUGGUCUGUUUCUAUAACAUCAUCCAAUAAUGAGCCUUCAACUCUUAACUAGUAAGUAGUAACAUGUUUGCAUUUCUAUAUAACUGUACUUGGUUAUUAAAGGGGUCUUUUUUCGAAGUAUUUAUUUUCUUGGUCUGUUUGGUCACAUGGGGAUGACCGGCCAUUUUUUUGAUUAUGAUGUAACAGCCUAGCGGGUUUUUUUUUGCCCCGGACAGUUUCAAACAUUUACCUGGCCAUCCCAAGACAUAAUUCGAAUCUAAAACAUCUUGUGAGGAAAUAUGAUCCUUGUCAAUAAACCAAUCGGUGAUGUUUUUUUUCUCAAAGUAUAUGACAUGAUAUAGCAAUUGUGAUUGAACAUAAAUUCCACUAAUAGUAACUUUAAAAGUGAUCAAAGAUUAUUACUCGUUCAAUAAGACUUUUUCGAAUACACGCUUGUGGACAUUCACCACGAAAACAGAACAUUUACAGAACCUGCAUCAUAAAAUACUUUGGAGCAGAUAUAUUGACUUCACAUCUAAAGUGUAUAUGUCACAGAAUGAAGUUUGGCCCAGAACCCUGCAAAAAAUACGAGUAAAUAGUAUUAAAAUUAGAAAGAUUCCCAAUUGCUAAGACAAAGAUUGUUCAUCUCAGGUUCAGUCCACAACCAUGAGUAUCAUCAUAAUCGUGAAUUGCUGGCUCCAGAUUCUUUAAAACUUGAUUUAGUUUGGUAAUGUGAUCAGUUGAAGAUAAAUGAACUGUUGCAGUCUCCCAGUUAAGAUUUAUUGAGUCUGAACGAAAACAUAAUAGGCUCGAUAACCAUAUAGAGAUGUAUCAAAUGUAACUUAUUUUACCCCGGUCAUCUUUUUCAUACCAUUAACAUGAAAGCCCCAAAACAAGUUGUUUAUUAUAAUUUUCAUACAACUAACGAUGCCUAUUUUUACACAAAAUGUGCCAGCAUAGAAUUUACCUGAUUUUACCAAUCUAUGCAACAGUCUAGUUCACUAGCAGGGAUUGAACGGGGAUCUAUAUGACUAUCUAAAGUUUACGCUAAAUACAUAUAUCCAUAACCAGAGAAUCCUAACUACAACUUGGACUCGCCACUUUACAAAUCAUAGAGGGUCCAUAGUCCAUACUGCACCCUAAGAAUAGGUGCACGCUUGUCGUGCACAAUAAUUGGACUAACGGCCCUUAGCCUAAGAAAACCACUAAGACCAUUAAAAAUCUUCCAAAAUCGCAGUUGAGUAGUAAAACUCUGUCAUAUAAGUUUCAACACUCCUAAGGUACUUCACUCCAAAUUUUAAGCAAGAAAACCAAACCAAUGUUAAUUUGUGACAUCUAUUGCAAAACAUUGUUAACCGGCCCACAAUCGGUUCUCUAUCCAUAAUGUUAGGGGCAUAUUUGACCCACUCCACACAAUGUCAUGAUUAUUAACCGAAACUUUAAAAAUUACUUAUCAAUCAAAAACUACUGUAUUUUGAUACAGGCACAAAAAUUAUAAGUGAAAAAAAAAGAGUAUAUAUAUAAUAUACUUACCUUUAAAUAAAACUUAAAUUGAUUGAGAAUAAGUAUAAUCAUGUUGACAAGCUUUACUCUUACAAUCAGGAACAUCUUGAAACAUAUCAGCAGGCAACUUUUUCGACAAAUAACCAACAUGAAACUCAAUCAUACCCGAAUCCACAUCCAAAUCCAUACCAGUAACACUUAACCAUAAAAACAACUGUUUAGCUUGAAUACCAGUCACACCAGAUAUUGACCCAUAAGUCAACUUUCCUUGAAUUGUUUUACUGUAGUAAACAGUUUGAUCAUCAAACUUUACGUAGCAAGGGCGCGUGAGCUGCACGGUAAACGACCCGUCUGUUGGUGACAGUUUGUAGGAUUCUACCGCGUUCGGGAGGAUCCCGACUGGCAGACCGAAUUCUGGUAAGAUGUCGUGGAUGUCGUCCGAGGUUGCGGUUAGGAUGAGGUGGAUUGUGAUUAUAGAGAUGAUGAUGAAGGGAGGUUGCUUGAAAGAAGAAGCCAUUGAUGUCGUAUGGAUUUAGAAGUCAACUAGGACUUUAUAUGUAUGGAUUUGAUAAACAGAAAUUAUACUCGUAUAAUGAAUGAAUGCUCUAAAUUCUAUGUUAAA